AGGGGUUCCAAGCGGUACAAAGGUUCUCCUGGGACCGGUCGGGACGCCUGCGAAGGCGACUCAUAAUCCUUUGGUCGUUGGUUCAAGUCCAACACGGCCUACCA
rnacentral:tRNA from 1 species